UCCGUAGGUGAACCUGCGGAGGGAUCAUUAUCGA
rnacentral:rRNA from 1 species